AAUUCCAAACCAGAAAUUUGUUAUUCGAUAGUGCAUUUAACAGCAUCACCAAAAUGUUCCAAAUGAGAUUAAUUGUGUUAGUUUUCUCGUUGAUCUGUGUUUUUCAUGAGGGCACAGCAUUUUCAAAAUCUGACUGCGAGUUGCCUGUACAAAUACCAGGACCAGACGGAGACAUAUGUCUGGCCGAAAUUCCAGUUUUUACCUGGAGUAAUUUGGAAAAAAAAUGUGUACCGGAUUCCUUUGGAGGAUGUCACGAAACCAACAACAUGUUCCGUACAGAGGAAGACUGUGAAAAAAUUGCCAAACCCAUUUGUCUGCAAUAAACACAUGAACAAAUA